rnacentral:lncRNA from 12 species
AUGCACACAUGUACCCAUAGAGGCUUUUCUCACAGGAGUCGUAGCUGGCCAAAAAUUGUCCGUGGGAGCUCAGAGACACAUAUAUCGAUGCACCCACCUCUCAGAACCAAAGUGAAUGACAGAUACCCAUCCUGCUGUCACCCACACUACUGCAGAUCCUCUCUGAUUUGCUGCAUUCUUGUGCACCAACUUGGAUCCAAACUGCUUAGAGUUGAGUCGCUUGUGCCCAAAGAAACGCUACAAAAUGAAGGAGCAAGAGCAACUGGAAGCUUUUUUGCAGCUCCCCCCACUCCGACGGUGUCGUUUGCGGAAAGUCUCCUCGGAGAGUUCCGAGCCCGCAGAGAGCUCCGGGUCCCAUCCCUCCGGGCUGAACAGCCCCAGAUCCCCGCUCGGAUGAAUGGCCAUCCUCAGCGAUCGGCAUCAGAGCCACGCCGAAAUAAUGCUGCGAAUGGGCUCAUUAGCCGACCUGCAGAUGGACUUAGGUAAUAGGAAUGGAGCAAUAGUGAAAAUCGGUUUGGAGGGAAACAUCAAAUCGAAAAGCUCUGACAAAACUCCACUUUGCUCUAGUUCAGCAGAGGUAUUGUCAGACACCAAUAUUAAAUUCUAUGUCGCUUCAAAUUGAGGUUUUAUUUUGUUACUCGCUAAUUUGCUUCUUGUACAAUGUUGCAAGCACUUUCAGUCUCAUUUGAAAGGGUAAAAUACUUCGUACAACUUUUUAGAAGAGUGGCCUUCGACUUCUUACACCAGGGACACAUAAUCAUUUAAUUUCUGCUUUACGUUCACUGAGGAAAGUAUCUGUAAUACCUUCUCGAUAAAAAUAAAAUAAAAUAAAAACAA